rnacentral:lncRNA from 1 species
GAUAAUAAGGAUAUUACCCCAACUUGAAGUAUCUUUGAUUGACUAAGACAUAAUGAAGUACCUCCAAGAAAAGGUUAGUGAAAAAAUAAGUUUUCUCCUUCACUUUCACUCAUGUUUAUCUCACGAUCUCUCACACUACAACUUCUUCUGCCAAGUUGAGCAUUCGGAAUUAAAUCCGCUUAAAUGAGGAUUUACAUGUUAGUCUUAAUGACACGAUAAGGAAUCUUAAUGGGAUCUCAUUUCUAGAAGCUCAGAAGUAAGCACACAGAAGGAAUUGUACUUAAUUGAAGAUAAUAAAAUAAUUAAAAUCCUAAUCUAGACUCAAAAUAAAUUAAUAAAAUAAUAUUAUCUUAGUUGAAGAAAACUUCUUUUCCUCUUGUGGAAUUCACCAUGUAGCUUUUUUCUUUUUGGACUUCAAUUUUGUGUAGGAGUAUCUUUAAUUUCAACAUGGGAAUCAUGUGGGAAUAAGGAAAAAGGAAGAAGAGUCCUCUUCAGACUCAAGUUGGUUGUUGUUCGCAUGCAAUUGGUACGCAAGCUUGUUGUCUGCAUGCAAUUGGCGUGCGCUAAAACUUCCUCGCGAGUGUGGCUAGGACAGCCCGCUCAUGCGCUUUCCUAUGUGCGGCCUGCUCCUAUGUG